ACCCUGUGUGUGACAUGCUGGGUGCAGUGCUUCUUAGAAGCUUGGAGCUGCCUGCACUCCCUCAGUGCUAAAGCUGUCUACAGGAUUGGAUGCCUAAGUUUCAGUCUUGCAAAGGUAGAGAAGAAAAAGAGGAAUUCUUAGAAAACUAAUGGAGACAUCAGCAGCCAUUCAGAUCUAUGACUGUGAAGCAGCCAAGGAGGAUACGAUAGAAAAGAAGGCGAGAGGAAUUGUUUAACCGACGUGAAGAUGGCAAUCCAACUGAAGCAGGGUAGUCCUCAUCUUCCUCAAAUUCAAGCCGAACCUAGCCACCAAAUGAUAGGCAUUUAUUAAUUGUACUGUUAAUAAUUAUUAUUCUGCUGUGCUUUUAAAUGUUGAAUAAAGAUUUGGGAGAAAAUUAUGAAAGGAAAUCUUCAGCCCAAAAUAUGGAUUUUCAAAAGUCUAGAACAGGUGGCCGUAGAUCUGUUAGUUAUCUAAGAACUAGACACAAGACCCCCACACAUAUUUUUGACAUGCAGCUGGUCCUAGAUGGAGAAUGUCUCUACAAAAAAUAGACAGAAGUUGCUACUUGACUGUAGACAUUGGUUUGAGUGAAGGACAGUAGAAGAUCUAGUGUCAACUCUCCUAGGAAGGACCUUUUCUAUGUCUUUGCUGUUGUCUCUGAGAUACCAUUUGUGCAUCUUGAUUUUUUUAGUUCAUCAUUUUCCUUUUAUUGCUUGCAAUCAAAUCUACUCACCAUCUAAUAUCUGGAAACAAAGCCACAGAGAUGAUGAGGAUUGUAUGUUGUGGUUAAGAUGCAGUCAGAUCAGGGAUGGUGUGAUAAGAUCUGCUGAGAUCUCAAGAGACUGAGAGUGAACUCUGCCCAGGAAGGGUACUGUCCAAAUUACUGUGAGAAGUUCCUGUCUCCUGAGAACCCUGUGCUGUAAGCUGCUGAGUAAAACACCUUUGAGAAAAUUGGAGUUGAUAACAACCCCUUAAGCAUGAUUCUGUCUAUUAACAUGCCUCAAUUUCAUUCUCCCAGAAGAGAGAUACUUCAAAUGCAUUUGUUUCUACCAAGGUUACAGCUUCAUGAAUGAGAAAAGCACAGUAGUAAGAGGCAGGAACUUACCAGGUUGAGUAAUGACUUAACAUCCUUUAGAAGUUUUGUGAGUUUUGUGAAGUCUUCAACUAUCUUUCUGAUUUUAGAUAUGAAAGCACCAACACCAGGGAUUGACUCCAGAUCAACAAGAUCUAUUAUUACAUGACUCAGGGUGUUGUUCCAGCCAACCAGCAUGCCUAUAGUUACUUUCAGAAGGACCUCAGGCUAGGAAAAAACAAUUGAGCAUCACAUUAAAACAUGUAAAAAACUGCAGGUUGAAUUGCAUGUGAUACUUAGUGUAGUGUUUGUAGCUUGUGUUAUACAAUUUUUUGAGAAUCAUUUGCAGAACUGUUAGUACAGUGAUUUGUGAGUGUCUAGACAUGGAAUAGAUCUUAAUAGAAAUUCUCUUCUUUCACUGUUUUAGAUAUUAUCUUCCUUUACUUUCUCUCAUGUUUACAAAUAUUGAUAUGCAUAGUACAUGAACAGAAUGUGCACAGCGGAUG